GAGUUUGAUCCUGGCUCAGAUUGAACGCUGGCGGCAUGCUUUACACAUGCAAGUCGAACGGCAGCGCGGGCUUCGGCCUGGCGGCGAGUGGCGAACGGGUGAGUAAUACAUCGGAACAUGCCCACUUGUGGGGGAUAGCUCGGCGAAAGCCGGAUUAAUACCGCAUGAGAUCUACGGAUGAAAGCAGGGGACCUCCGGGCCUUGCGCGAGUGGAGUGGCCGAUGGCAGAUUAGGUAGUUGGUGGGGUAAAGGCCUACCAAGCCUGCGAUCUGUAGCUGGUCUGAGAGGACGACCAGCCACACUGGGACUGAGACACGGCCCAGACUCCUACGGGAGGCAGCAGUGGGGAAUUUUGGACAAUGGGCGCAAGCCUGAUCCAGCAAUGCCGCGUGCAGGACGAAGGCCCUCGGGUUGUAAACUGCUUUUGUACAGAACGAAAAGAAGCUGGG
rnacentral:rRNA from 2 species